rnacentral:rRNA from 1 species
GACGAACGCUGGCGGUGUGCUUAACACAUGCAAGUCGAACGGCAAGGCCCUGCUUUUGUGGUGUUCUCGAGUGGCGAACGCGUGAGGAACACGUGAGUAACCUGCCCUUGACUUUGGGAUAACUUCAGGAAACUGGGGCUAAUACCGGACAGCAGCUCCUGCUGCAUGGUGGGGGUUGGAAAUUUUCGGCGGGUGGGGAUGGACUGGCGGCUGAUCAGCUUGUUGGUUGGGGAGUGGCUUACCGACGCUGUGACGGGUAGCCGGCACGGGAGGGUGACCGGCCACAUUGGGACUGAGAUACGGCCCAGACUCCUACGGGAGGCAGCAGUGGGAAAUCUUGCACAGUGAGCGGGAGUCUGAUACAGAAGCGUCGCGUGCGGGAUGCCGGCCUUCGGGGUGAAAACCGCUUUCGGCUGUGACGAAGCGUGAGUGACGGUAAUGGGUGAAGAAGCACCGGCUAACUACGUG